rnacentral:rRNA from 1 species
AACGUAGGUUCCGAGCGUUAUCCGGAUUUACUGGGCGUAAAGCGCGUUCAGGCGGUUUGGCAAGUCGGGGCAUGAAAUCUCUCGGCUCAACCGGGAGAGGUUGUCCGAUACUGCUGGACUUGAGGGCAGUAGAGGGGUGGUGGGAAUUCCGGGGUGUAGUGGUGAAAUGCGUAGAUAUCAGGAGGAAUACCGAUGGCGAAGGCAGGUCUCUGGGCUAUAACUGACGCUCAUGCACGAAAGCGUGGGGAGCAAACAGG